rnacentral:rRNA from 1 species
UACAGAGGGUGCAAGCGUUAAUCGGAAUUACUGGGCGUAAAGCGCGCGUAGGUGGUUUGAUAAGUUAGAUGUGAAAGCCCCGGGCUCAACCUGGGAGGGUCAUCUAAAACUGUCGGGCUAGAGUAUGGUAGAGGGUAGUGGAAUUUCUAGUGUAGCGGUGAAAUGCGUAGAUAUUAGAAGGAACACCAGUGGCGAAGGCGACUGCCUGGACUGAUACUGACACUGAGGUGCGAAAGCGUGGGUAGCGAACAGG